UCUCUCAGGCCAUGUGUUCAUGACUUUUAGUCCCAAAUUUGUUAACUUUCUGUGGGAACAAUUACAUUUUAAUUCUCCAUAUCCACCUCUUCUUUUAGUUCCCUCCCAUGAAGUGAUUCAGGCAACUAUGAGAAAUUUCUUGUUCUCCUUAUUUAUGCUGUUCAGACUUGCUUGACUUCUGAAGAGGACCUGGACUUGUCACUGUGCCUCUGUACAGAGCUCCACGGCUGCCAGUUCAUGACAUGGACCAUUCGUGUUGGGUUGGGUAACUAACACCCAACUGGAUUUUAUGUACCUGAUAGCAAAAGGAAAUAUUUUCUUAAACAUAGGCUGCAGCACUGUCACCUUUAGGUUCCAACCCAUUUGCUUCCCACUGACAACUGACCGACUUUCUCUGCUGAAAUCGCCGUGCUUGCUGUCUCUCCGCUGGGCUGUUCCCUUGCUGGCUGCCUCUUGCUGGCGGCUGGAAGCGAGGGGCUGGGAGAUCGGCGGCACCAGCAGAGUAGGGGGGACAGGGUCUGCCUCCAAUCCCCCUCCCCAGGAACAGGGGCAGUGGUUGGGCUCCAUCAACACACCUGAAGAAGCACAAACUAACGGGGUGAUGCCAGCACACAGUGCUUAAAAAGGUUUUAAACCGCCCUCAUCUCACCCUUCAAACAGAGGUAGUGAGCGCUCUGCUUUCUGGAGUGAAAUGGUCGAAAGGGCUUGCCUUUGUCAGGCGUGAAGCUACUGUGAGUUGGGAAUGCUCUUCUUUCCAGGGUAUCUCUGAGAGGACUCGUGGACACACUCUUAAAAAUGCAGUAAGAAGUAGCUGUGCUUAACGGGGAAGGAGCAGCACGCUGCAGUAUUUUCUGCUGCUGACACUGAACCACAACAACAUCAGCUCUGCAUCUAUCAGGGACCAUUACACUGCUCUUUCCCUAGUGUACAUCCCUCUUUUGUCCACUUGCCAACUGGCUUAACCUUUCAUCAACAAAUAAUUUUCACUUAAUGAGAAUUUACUCUGGAGUGCAUUUUCCCUCAGGAGCACAGGUUCCCCCUUUGUCCAGCAGGAGCCUCGCCAUGCAGGUCAUAGAAGUUACUGGGGCACGAUGAGCCUCAGUGCAGGUAUUGAUUUGUCUCAGACUGCUGUCUAGACCACUAUUUGCAUUGAGCCAUUACACACACACGUACACAAAGAUCUGCCUUCGUUUUUCAGCGGCUGCUUGCUUCCUAUAUUGGGGCAUGGACAGGCUCAUGGAGCCUGGUCUGCUGGGUGCAGCCUCUGAAGCUGUGCCACUGCUAACACAUGGGGACGCAGCCAGCAGGGGAAAGGAGAGGGCUGUAAUGGGCUGUCACAUCCCACAGGCUGUGAAGGCUUAUUUUUAGAUCAGUGCAUCAGACUCAUGUUUGAGUGGUGGGAACUUGCUCACAGCUGCUUGUUUUCGAAGAGACUUUUGGCAGAUCUGUGUGACCUGCUAUGGGGAUGUGGUACCCAGAAGGCAGGAGAGGGAAGGAUGCCUGAGCACUGCAGGAGGAAAUGAGGGUAGGGCAAGGGGGGUCCUGAAGACAUCAGGGAUAGAAAUGACAUAUGUUUAUGACACAUGGUCAUGACAUGGUUUUGACCAGUCACCUGGUCAUAAACAUGGGCAGGGCUGAAAAGCCCAAGUAGCUCUAAUAGGAAAAAGUCACUUAAAUCUACAUUGACUAAGAAAAGGAGGAUGGUCAAGCAAGGGAAUGUUGUUUACUGAAUGAGACCUUAAGGGAUCAAAGCUCUCCUCUACCCUGCUCCUUCCCUCUUUCUACAAUCAUUCAGUCCUGUGGUAUUUCUUCCUCUUGCUCAUGGCAGCAGGAGAGGCCUGGCAUAAGCUUCCAUACAAGGGAUUUGCUCUUCUGCCACCCUCCCAUAAACACUCAAACAUCAUGGCA